UCUCUGGUGGUUCAGUGGUUAGGACUUUGCGCUUCCACUGCAGGGGGCACAGGUUUGAUCCCUGGUCUGGGGUC
rfam:TPA: Bos taurus chromosome 23, whole genome shotgun sequence.